rnacentral:rRNA from 1 species
AUCUGGUUGAUCCUGCCAGUAAUCAUAUGCUUGUCUCAAAGAUUAAGCCAUGCAUGUCUAAGUACAAGCCGCGUACGCGGCGAGACUGCGGACGGCUCAUUAAAUCGGUUAUGAAUCCACCGGGGACAGACUGACCCGUGGAUAACGUGCGGUAACUCCGGUGCUAAUACAUGCAACAAGGCUCCGACCCCGUCCUCGGGCGGGGGAAGGGCGCACUUAUUAGGCGAAAACCAAUCGCUCGCUCGCGGGCGUUGGUGGACGACACCCGAGUAAUUGCCGCCGAUCGCACGGCCUCCGAGCCGGCGACACCUACACUGAGUUUCUGAUCUAUCAUGCUGACGACGGUUGGUGCUAUGCCAACCGUGGCGUUAACGGAUAACAGAGAAUCUGGGUUCGAUUCUGGAGAGGCCGCAUGAGAAACGGCGACCACUUCUAAGGAAGGCAGCAGGCACGCAAAUUACCCACUUCGGACACCGAGAGGUAGUGACGAACAAUACCGAUGCGGCGCACUUACGUGUCGCCGUAAUCGGAAUGAGUACACUUCAAAUCCUUUAACGAGGAUCCACUGGAGGGCAAGCCUGGUGCCAGCAGCCGCGGUAAUUCCAGCUCCAGCAGCGUAUAUUUAUAUUGCUGCGUUUAAAAAGCUCGUAGUUGAAGCGUCAGACGCGGGAGGGCGGACGGCCGCACAGGUCGCUCUCGCCCGACCGAGCCAGGCGCAGAGGGCGCGCGUCGCUUGCACUUCGCCGUGUGAGCGCGCCGCCGCUGCACGUUCACCUUGAAGAAAUUGAACCGCUUAGAGGGGGCGAGCAGCUUGGACAGCUCAGCAUGGUAUGAUGGAACAUGGGCUCGUACUCAUUUUGUUGGUUAGAGAGUCGGCGAGCCAAUGAUUAACAGGGACUGCCGGGGGCAUUCGUACUCGGACGGGAGAGGUGAAAUUCAAGGAUCGUCCGAAGACGCCCUACUGCGAAAGCAUUUGCCAAGAAUGUUUUCAUUAAUCAAGAACGAAAGUCAGAGGUGCGAAGGCGAUCAGAUACCGCCGUAGUUCUGACCGUAAACGAUGCCGACUGGCAAUUGGGCGCACUUCUGUCGAAGUUGCCGCCAGCAGUAUUGCCCGGGAAACCAAAGUCAUUGGGUUCCGGGGGGAGUAUGGUUGCAAAGCUGAAACUUAAAGGAAUUGACGGAAGGGCACCACCAGGAGUGGAGCCUGCGGCUUAAUUUGACUCAACACGGGAAACCUCACCCGGCCCGAACACUGUUAUGACAGACAGGUUGAGAGCUCUUUCUCGAUUCAGUGGUUGGUGGUGCAUGGCCGUUCUUAGUUCGUGGAGCGAUCUGUCUGGUUAAUUCCGAUAACGAACGAGACUCUUGCCUGCUAAAUAGACGGCGCCGACUCGGCACGGCGACCGUUUGCUUCUUAGAGGGACAAGCGGCUUUUAGCCGCGUGAAGCCGAGAGCAAUAACAGGUCAGUGAUGCCCUCAGAUGUUCGGGGCCGCACGCGCGCUACACUGUUUGCAUCAGCGUGUUUCUCCCGCGCCGGCUGGCGUGGGCAACCCGUUGAACCGCAAACGUGCUAGGGAUCGGAGAUUGCAAUUGUUCUCCGUGAACGAGGAAUUCCUUGUACUGGCGAGUCAUCAGCUCGCGGGGAAUCUGUCCCUGCCCUUUGUACACACCGCCCGUCGCUACUACCGAUUGAGUGGUUUAGUGAGGCUCACGGACUGCGCGCGGCACACGGCGC